GAUUUCUGGUUUAAUGCACCUGGCCCGCGGCCACUAGGCUUGUGAGUGCCGGCGCGCGUUUACCAUCCUUCUAGAAAACGAUUCUGCCAUUAGCUUGGUUGGGAUCGCGAUCUAGAUCUUUUACUUUGAAAAAAUUAGAGUGUUUAAAGCAGGCUUUUGCUAUGAAUACAUUAGCAUGGAAUAAUAAUCUAGGACUUCGGUUCUAUUUUGUUGGUUUCUAUAACUGAAGUAAUGAUUGAUAGGGAUAGUUGGGGGUGCUAGUAUUGGCCGGCCAGAGGUGAAAUUCUUGGAUUCGGUCAAGACUAACUUAUGCGAAAGCAUU
rnacentral:rRNA from 1 species